CCUACGGGAGGCAGCAGUGAGGAAUAUUGGUCAAUGGACGAGAGUCUGAACCAGCCAAGUAGCGUGAAGGAUGACUGCCCUAUGGGUUGUAAACUUCUUUUAUAUGGGAAUAAAAUGUUCCACGUGUGGGGUUUUGUAUGUACCCUAUGAAUAAGGAUCGGCUAACUCCGUGCCAGCAGCCGCGGUAAUACGGAGGGUCCGAGCGUUAUCCGGAUUUAGUGGGUUUGAAGGGGGCGUAGGUGGAUUGUUAAGUCAGGUGUUAAAGUUUGCGGCUCAACCGUAAAAGUGCAGUUGAAACUGGCAGUCUUGAGUACAGUAGAGGUCGGCGGAAUGCGUGGUGUAGCGGUGAAAUGCUUAGAUAUCACGAAGAACUCCGAUUGCGAAGGCAGCUCACUGGACUGCAACUGACACUGAGGCUCGAAAGUGUGGGUAUCAAACAGGAUUAGAUACCCCGGUAGUC
rnacentral:rRNA from 1 species